rnacentral:tRNA from 1 species
GCCCGCGUGGCACAAUUGGUUAGCGCGUAAGACUUUUAAUCUUAAGGGUAAGCCGUUGUGUGCUACAAAGCAGAAGAAAAGUAAACUAACAACGCUACGCAGUUCUGAGUUCGAGACUCAGCGUGGGCG